rnacentral:rRNA from 1 species
AUUGAACGCUGGCGGCAUGCUUUACACAUGCAAGUCGAACGGUAACAGGCCUUCGGGUGCUGACGAGUGGCGAACGGGUGAGUAAUGCAUCGGAACGUGCCCAGAGGUGGGGGAUAACGCAGCGAAAGCUGUGCUAAUACCGCAUGUGAUCUGAGGAUGAAAGCGGGGGACCAGGCAGCAAUGUUUGGCCUCGCGCCUUUGGAGCGGCCGAUGUCAGAUUAGGUAGUUGGUGGGGUAAAGGCCUACCAAGCCGACGAUCUGUAGCUGGUCUGAGAGGACGACCAGCCACACUGGGACUGAGACACGGCCCAGACUCCUACGGGAGGCAGCAGUGGGGAAUUUUGGACAAUGGGCGCAAGCCUGAUCCAGCAAUGCCGCGUGCGGGAAGAAGGCCUUCGAGUUGUAAACCGCUUUUGUACGGAACGAAAAGGCUCUGGCUAAUACCUGGGGCUGAUGACGGUACCGUAAGAAUAAGCACCGGCUAACUACGUG